rnacentral:rRNA from 1 species
UACGAAGGGGGCUAGCGUUGUUCGGAUUUACUGGGCGUAAAGCGCACGUAGGCGGAUCGAUCAGUCAGGGGUGAAAUCCCAGAGCUCAACUCUGGAACUGCCUUUGAUACUGUCGAUCUCGAGUCCGGAAGAGGUGAGUGGAAUUCCUAGUGUAGAGGUGAAAUUCGUAGAUAUUAGGAAGAACACCAGUGGCGAAGGCGGCUCACUGGUCCGGUACUGACGCUGAGGUGCGAAAGCGUGGGGAGCAAACAGG